CCAAAACAUUUUAAUAAUUUUAAUGUUGAAAUUACAAUCACCCUAACACCCAAAGAUCAGUCCAACUAGACAGGACUCUCUUUGCCGUGCAAAUUACAAUCACCCUAACACCCAAAGAUCAGUCACCAUGUUCUUGCCAUAGUUCUCCCCAAUGUCAGCUAUGGUCAGAGUCUGUUAAUGAAUCUUACCACCUACAAAACACAUUGAAAAGUGUAAAGCUAACUUCAUUGUGAAAGUAAAGGACACACUCCUGUUACAAUCUUCAGUUCAUGGAAUAUAAACAAAACAUCAUUAUGCACAUUAAACUAGAAACAAUUAUCAGCCACCAUUUAUAAACUUAAAAACAUCUAAUUUCUUGGUAUUUGAGGCUUGCAUAAAUUAUUGUAGUAAUAAAUGUGAUAAAAACUGUGGGGGAGGGGGGAUUAAAACAAUAAUAUAAAAAAUUCCUCAAGUUUUCCAAAUUUCUUGCUCACAGUAAGCAGCUCAACGUCAAAGUAAUAACUUGUGACGCAACUAUAAUAACUGUUGGAAAAUUGAUGUACAGUAAUUCAAAUAGAAACCCUAAUGAAUUUUACACUGCGAUAAAGAAAAUCAAGAUACGUUCAGCACUUACCCACAUUUUGAGAGAAGAAAGUCAGAAACAGUAGCAAAUCAACCAAUGCCACACAACAGAGUUGAGAUGGCUCAACACUAUCAACAAGAGUUACUGUCACACAAUAGAACAUUUAACUCGUCAUGUACGUCCAUAAUAAACAAGGAUGCUUGCUCUUUGUUCACGAGACUACUCUCACUUUUUGGAAGAAGAGAAUCCAUUUCUCUUAGUUAUUGUCAAUAAUAAGUGUUGAUUUCUGGCUAACCAGAUCCUUUUUAAGAUCACUCACUUGGGGGAUGUACAUGUAAGCACAAGCUCAGGCAAUCGAUAGAUCAGCCUGAAGGUGAAAUUUGGGAAUAUUGCUGAUUUCCCUUUAAGAAUGU
rnacentral:lncRNA from 1 species